AUUGAACGCUGGCGGCAGGCCUAACACAUGCAAGUCGAACGAGUGGCGGACGGGUGAGUAAUGUCUGGGAAACUGCCUGAUGGAGGGGGAUAACUACUGGAACAGGUAGCUACUACCGCAUACCAUCGGAUGUGCCCAGAUGGGAUUAGCUAGUCGGUGGGGUAAAGGCUCACCUAGGCGACGCUCCCUAGCUGGUCUGAGAGGAUGACCGGCCACACUGGAACUGAGACACGGUCCAGACUCCUACGGGAGGCAGCAGUGGGGAAUAUUGGACAAUGGACGAAAGCCUGAUGGAGCCAUGCCGCGUGUAUGAAGAAGGCCUUCGGGUUGUAAAGCACUUUCAGUGGGGAGGCGUUACCUGCAGAAGAAGCACCGGCUAACUCCGUGCCAGCAGCCGCGGUAAUUC
rnacentral:rRNA from 1 species